rnacentral:lncRNA from 1 species
CUGAAUGCUGAAGCAAUGUGAUUGGCUGCUUCAGGCCCUCCACUCUGACUUCCACCCUGAUGUAUUCCAGGAUGCACUUCUCUCUCCUUUAAAUGGUUUCUUGUCACGUGUUUGGCCUCAGCAACAAGCUCGGGCCCAGCAUUGGUGAAGGACAAGGGUGUGGAUGGAAACUACCGAGACCAAGCAAUCCUUUGAGCCGAUCAUGUUGUGUAUUUCGUCACAGAAACAGAAAAGUAACUGAAGUGUCCCUAACCUCAUGAGACCUCUUCAGCCAAGGAGAAGAGACCAAGAGACA